GACGAACGCUGGCGGCGUGCUUAACACAUGCAAGUCGAGCGGUAAGGCCCUUUCGGGGGUACACGAGCGGCGAACGGGUGAGUAACACGUGGGUGACCUGCCCUCAGCUCUGGGAUAAGCCUGGGAAACUGGGUCUAAUACUGGACAUGACUCCACGGUGCAUGUCGUGGGGUGAAAGCCUUGUGCGGCUGAGGAUGGGCCCGCGGCCUAUCAGCUUGUUGGUGGGGUGANGGCCUACCAAGGCGACGACGGGUAGCCGGCCUGAGAGGGCGACCGGCCACACUGGGACUGAGACACGGCCCAGACUCCUACGGGAGGCAGCAGUGGGGAAUCUUGCGCAAUGGGCGAAAGCCUGACGCAGCGACGCCGCGUGAGGGAUGACGGCCU
rnacentral:rRNA from 1 species